rnacentral:lncRNA from 1 species
CAGAGCUAUAUGCCAGCAACAUGUCUGUGUCUCCCCCAAGAGAGCAGCUUGGUGCCUAUCCACAGUCCAGGGAAAUGUCCGGGAUUUCCUCUGCAGAAGAAUAUUCCUAACAGAGGGUUCAAGCUACGAUUUCCUGGUGGUUCCGUCCUGGUGACAGGGCCCGGGUUAUGACGACUAAUCCCAAGCCCAACAAGACAUUGAAGGUCAAGAAGGAGGCGGGCGAGAACGCCCCUGUUCUUAGCGACGAUGAGCUGGUGUCCAUGUCGGUGCGGGAGCUGAACCAGCACCUGCGGGGGCUCACCAAGGAGGAGGUAACUCGGCUGAAGCAGCGGCGGCGCACACUCAAGAACCGAGGCUACGCCGCCAGCUGUCGCAUCAAGCGCGUGACACAGAAGGAGGAGCUGGAGCGGCAGCGGGUGGAGCUGCAGCAGGAGGUAGAGAAGCUGGCUCGUGAGAACAGCAGCAUGCGUCUGGAGCUGGAUGCCCUGCGCUCCAAGUACGAGGCCCUGCAGACCUUCGCACGCACCGUGGCCCGAGGGCCUGUCACACCCACCAAGGUGGCCACCACCAGUGUCAUCACCAUCGUCAAAUCCGCAGAGCUCUCCUCCACCUCUGUGCCCUUCUCAGCGGCCUCCUAGUGUCUGCUGGGGCCGGGCAGGGUGCGGGCAGUGGCACAGCCCUCAUGCCUAUCCCAGGCUCCCUGGUACAGAUUCCUCAUGUCUACCUGCCCACUGUGGACCCUGCAGGGCUGAGGGCAGGGACGGCAGGGACAGGCAGAUGCAGGAUAAAAGGGAAGCUCUCAUGAGCCAGUGCCACAAGCAACCCCCACUCACAUCUCUCCUUCCCCUGGGGGUACGUCUCUAGGAGCUGACAGGAACCACACGGGCAACCGCGAUGAACAACUCUAGGCCUCUGUGGCAGAGUGUGAGGACUCAGUCUUCCACUUCUCCGGUGCCUGCUUAUCAGCGUCAUCGGUGCCGUCCCCUCUAAGGGCCUCCAGCUGGGUUGGACACCAUCUGUCUGUCACUUCUGGGCUCUGGCCUUCCUGUCCUUACUAAAGGGCGCUACAACCUGCUUUAGCCCUUAGGUAGAGCCAGGCCCAUGUCCUGGGAAACAGUUCCUGAUAUAGCCACUUGCAGGGGCUAAUGUAUGUGUUCCUGUGUGUACACAGGCUACCAUCACAGCCUGUGAAGACCGGAAACUGCUGGCCAAGUGGGAGAGCCUGGCCGGUAUGUGUGCUGAGGGUUACACAAGUGUCAUGGAGUGUCCCUGGAAGUCUGGUAGGCUGCACCCCAUUGUGGUGCAGGGGCCACCUGUCCACAGAGCCAGCAAACAGCCAGGCUCGGGUUCUCUGGGCCUUAGCAGAGGGGAGAGGCUGGAGAGGAGCAGGGGAAGCCUGAGAGAUGCUAAGGGGUAUGUCGGUGGCGUGUGUGUGUUGUUGCGGAAAGAACAGGAAUGAAGUAGACAGGGAUAGUGUGGAAGCCGAGGUCCAGGGGAUGUGGAAGAGGCCGAGAGGAAUACUGUGGAGGGACAGAGACGACUUCUGGAGGGCCUUAUGCACAUAGCCAUUGUGGGCAGGUCGGCAAGGACCCCAGGCAGACUAUAGGUCACAAAUACUCUGCAACUUUGGUGUCCAAUUGUUACCUGCCUUUUCCUCCUUCAUAGCACUCUGGGGCCACUGGCCAUCUUGGUUUUUUUUAACUGAAGGAAUUGUGUCCUCCAGAUCCUGGGGAAUAUGGUGGACAGGGAGUCAGGGGCAGGCUGAACUACAGCCAGGCACUUAGAAAGCACUGUUGGAACCAUAGCCUUGGUAGGUAAUCCAUAUUGGAUAUCAAUAAGGACCAUGGAUAUUUAAAGAGAGAAGAUAUAUAUAUAUAUAUAAUUAUACACACAUUUUAUCGUACAGAUUUUUCAUAACAAUUUUCUUUCCCAGUUUGAUACUGUAGAUCUUUAUUAAUGCAGAGUAGGUUGGACAGUGGGGUGGGGAACGGAGGCCCAGGGUGCCAACAGCCUCCCUCAGUCUUUCUGUGGUGGUGCUGGCAGGCCGGGUCACUGGAUGAGUGGUCUCCAGGGUAGGCAGGUGACCACUGACUGGCUUGCUGCCCGCUCCUGGCCUCUGGUGGUCCUCCUGGGUGGAGGCCCCAUACUCUUGGCGGCCAGGGGAGACAGGGCUGUCAGUACCACUGGAGCACCUGCAGAGGACACCUGCCAGGAGGGGGCUGGGAAGGGUGUGAGCAUGCCCCAUGGCUUCGUGUCACUGAAAUUUCAUUGUCACAACUUAAUAAUAUAUGGAUGUUUUUAUUUAAAGAUAAAAGUGAGUUUUCUGUCUUGUUCCUCUGACUUCUUAAAGCAAGCUUUAACUAUUUCAAAAGGUGUCAGGGACACAUGCCGAUCAUGCCGAGGCCUGGCAUCCUCAGCCGCCUGCCACUUGGCAAUUUCAUUUCAAUAUUUAUUUUUUUUUUGUGCUUUUUUUCCCCCAUGUUAUAAAUUAUUGAGAAGAGAUCAAGAUCACAGACUGUUGGCCCCGUCUGCACCCUGCCUCAUGGCCACCACCUAAUUUAUUGCUGUACAUGUCGCCGUGACUGCUUUUGUAUCUUUGCAAUAAAGAAUUUCCU